ACACCAGCAAUCUGCAAAAUACCUGGAAACUGUUUAACUGGAUAGAGUGGCAAGAUACAUGAGAAGUUGGGUUUUUAAAGAACUUUAAAAAAAUCAGGAUACAUGUAUGUUCUUAAAACCUAUACUCUUUCCAUUCUUGGGCUGGUGAAGAUUUUUGUGGGAACAAAUAUUCCUAAUGAAAGGAAGUACCAAUUAAAAGAUAUUCCCAGGGCAUUUAAUUUCUUCAGAUAAAGCAACAGUGUGUCUAAACACACGUCUACACAAGCACACACACCUAUGCAUAAGUACAUGUAUUUUAAAGAUACACAUAAAUAACUGCAUUAUGGAUCUUUUUCGAAUAUAUUCCACCUACAAAUGUUGAUUACACUAAGCAAUUAGUGGCUGGGCCAGCAAUUAGUAGUUAAAAGUGGAGCUUUUUAUAUGUUUUCUAAUUAUCAUUUUUCCCAAAAUUUUGCAUUGUAGGAUUAUGAUCUGAAGACUUUCAGAAGAAUUCUGAAGACAGCGUAAAGUGAAGACCGACUUUAAAAUGAGAAAUCACAUCUGUGACAGCAAUAACAGCACAAAUGGGAAACAAACAUCCUACCUGAUAGGCAUCUGCCUUAGCAGAGAUCCAGGGUUGUUCUCAGGAAAAGAUGGAUCUGAAAUCCACUGACGCCCAAUGUUAAACGUGAGGAGACAGGCGCUGGAGCUCCUGGAGCCUCUCUCCCAUCCCCAGGUGAACCAUACUCUUCACUACCAGGGGGUGAGGCAUUUUCUCGUGAUGUUGGCAUGCCUUGCCGUUUUCCCCUGGCAAGUCGCUUUGCCCAGGAGAGCUUCCUCCUAAUCAGCCUCAUCCUCAGGGGAUAGGGGCACCUGAAGAUAAGGUCCCAGGAAGAGAAGGAUGAACUGGUCCCGUGCCAAGGGUUAUGGAGGACAGAAGGAGAGCCCAAGUGUUGAACAGUCCAUCCUCCACUCAGCUGCCAGGAUGAUCCUCCCGAUGCAGAGGUCUGAUCACGCCACUUCCUUCCUCAGUCAGUAGUUCCCAUUACCUCUCAGAUCUGAUCUAAAGUCCUCUUCAGCAUUUCAAGAUGUCAACAAGCAUUUAUUAAGCACCUGCUGUGGUCUAGGUACUAUGCUAAGAGAUGGAGGUGGAAAUAAAGCAAUAGGCAAAUCCCUGCUUCUUAAGGGGACAUAACUAGACCUUUUCCUUCCUUGAGUCUUCUUACAUGUUCUUCCCCUCCGUGCACUCUGUGAUUGGGCACAAUGACCUGCUUAAUGCUCUGCAUUCACUCUGUGUCUCUGCACUGGCUGCUCCCCGUGCCUUGUGUGCCCAUCCUCCUCACCUCCACUUCUUGGAAUUUAUGUUUUCCUUGAAAACUCCUCUCCAAGGUCACUUUCUACCUGUAGGCUCUCCUAUUGCCCUAGCUGCUAGUGCAUUCCCUCCUCAAACUUCACUGGGUCCAUUCUGUUUAAUAUCAUGCACGAGCAGCAGCAUGUGGAUAGAGUCAACCUAAUUGCUUCCCAAACGCUCAGAUUUGCCUUCAAGUCAAGCCCUCUGACACCUAUGGGCUCUAGCGUCCUAGACAAGUUACUUCUCAGUGCCCUAAAGCACAGGCGUCCUGAGGUUCAAAUGAGAUAACACAGAUAAAGGACUAUAUUAGUGCCAGUUAUUAUUAUUAUUAACCUACAGUCACCAGGCCUCUAGUCUGGUAAUGACUCACUCCUGCUGCACUCAAACAGUGUUUGCAGAGCAGUUCUGGAGUGUGCAGAUAAAUAUUUAAUUAUCAGGUUCUCCUGCACACACUUUUAAGUUUAAUCUACAUUAGUAGCAUUUCUUAGGUCUAAACAGUCAACAAAAUAAUAAAUCAAGCCCAGACCUGUAGCCAUUGGAGACUGUAAAUGAUCACAUGGAAAGUUUAACAGCGAGUUAGAGCUGGCUCCAGCACACGCUGUUACAGAAAAGGUACCAACCUCCAUUGGUAGGAGGAACUUCUCAUCUAGGAGUUCCCUCUGCAGAUGAAAUUGCAGGUCCAUAUCCACAUGUAUUGUCUCUCUUCCCCUUAUUCCCCAAAUUAGAAUGCAACCCCUUUGAGGGCAGGGAUGGUUUCAGUUUUGACUUUGCAUCUCCAGAAUUUAUCAGUGUCUGGUGCAGGGUAAGAACUGAACAAAAUGCUUUGUUGGUUGGUUGAUGUCUGGCUCAUUGUGUCAACUCCUGCUUCCCCCUCCAGCCAACUGAUGUGAGGAUAGGACAAGAACGGCCCAGAAUGGGUUGUGAUCUGCACAGUUGGAAGGAUCACUCACAGCUCUUCUUCUAAAAGACCAUAGAUCCAAUUUGGCAUAUCUGUAUUUGAAUUACUUCUGACAUUCAUUCACAAAUGAACAUUUGUGUGCAUAUAUUUGCAUUU